rnacentral:tRNA from 1 species
GGAGGGAUCGCAUAGCCCGGCUAGUGCGCGACACUCGAAAUGUCGUGAGUCUUUAUAGGCUCCGUGGGUUCGAAUCCCACUCCCUCCGC